AGCGAACGCUGGCGGCGUGCCUAACACAUGCAAGUCGCACGAGAAAGGGGUCGCAAGACCCCGUGUACAGUGGCGAACGGGUGAGUAACGCGUGGGUAACCUGCCCUUGGGUUCGGAAUAACCUACCGAAAGGCGGGCUAAUACCGGAUGACGAUGCGGAGCUUUCGGGUUCCGCAUCCAAAGCUGACCUCUUCAUUGAAAGUUGGCGCCUGGGGAGGGGCUCGCGUCCCAUUAGCUUGNGGUGAGGUAACGGCUCACCAAGGCGACGAUGGGUANCCGGCCUGAGAGGGCGACCGGCACAGUGGAACUGAGACACGGUCCACACUCCUACGGGAGCAGCAGUGAGGAAUUGUCGCAAUGGGCNCAAGCCUGACGACGCAACGCCGCGUGGAGGAUGAAGGUCUUCGGAUUGUAAACUCCUGUU
rnacentral:rRNA from 1 species